rnacentral:lncRNA from 1 species
AAUACUGAUAAAAUAAGAUAACUAUAUUAUAUUUAUGAACACAGAAAUAAGAUAUUGAAUUUUUAUCAAAUUAUUAUUUUAUUUUAAUUUAAAUAUUUUGCUCUAAUAUUGUUUAUUUAAAAUGGCUAAUAUGUUAAUUUAGAUUAUAUUUUAAAAUGUACCACUUUCUUUAAAAAAUAAUUAAAAACUUAAAUAAAUUAUUACCUGUGUCUCUAGCUAAACUAAAACUUUAUCCUACUGGCUUUCCAAGUUCUGUCUUUCGGCCUUUUUAUUGUUUUAUUUGGGUUUUUUGCUGCACCCUCAAUUUUUCUUCCUCCACCCUAAUUUUCUCUAAAACCCUUUAUUACCUUUUCAUAUUUAGGUAUGGUAAAAAUCUAAAACCUAAUUUCUCUCUUAUAUUUAUUUCCUCACAACACUCAUCCCAACCCCAAGCACACAACACAACAUUUUUAAUUUCUCUCUCUAGUUUCACCUUCUCCGCCAUCCUACAUCCCACAACACACUCUUUACCUGUUUCACUUUUUCAAAACUCAUUUUUCACUCUUUCCUUCACCACACAUGCUCUAACCUCUCUUUCCC